CAAACACUCAACUCACAGUUGGAUUUAGGCGCAUUUGGUUGAAGUUUGAGAAAGAAAGAUAACCAGAAGCUGCAUCAGGCAGAGGAGAAAGUAAGGCAGGACAACACAUUUGGAUGAAGAAACGAUAUCAAGCUUUAGUUCACCAUCAGGAACAGCAGUAAUUUCAACUAAUCAGAAUCCAGGAUAAAGGCCCCGUGAUUACAAUAAUAAUGAGGCGACGCGGCUAAGGGACGUCAUGCGAAAAGUCUUAUUGUUUACAUGAAGAAAAGCAAAUUCAACCAAUCAGCUUUCAGGAUACAGGUCCCUUGACGAGAAUAAUAAUAAUAGGGUAAACAGCGAUUUUCGACUAGACAAUGUAAUUUGAAAAUUUGCUUUGUUUACAUUAAGAGAGCAAAUUUAACCAAUUAGAUUGCAGUAUAUAGGUCACGUGAUCAAUUUUGACCAAUCACAGAACGAGAAUU